GACGAACGCUGGCGGCGUGCCUAAUACAUGCAAGUCGAACGCACAGUUUAUACCGUAGCUUGCUACACCAUAGACUGUGAGUUGCGAACGGGUGAGUAACGCGUAGGUAACCUGCCUGGUAGCGGGGGAUAACUAUUGGUAACGAUAGCUAAUACCGCAUAAUAUUAAUUAUUGCAUGAUAAUUAAUUGAAAGGUGCAAUUGCACCACUACCAGAUGGACCUGCGUUGUAUUAGCUAGUAGGUGAGGUAACGGCGCACCUAGGCGACGAUACAUAGACGACCUGAGAGGGUGAGCGGCCACACUGGGACGAGGACACGGCCCAGACUCCUACGGGAGGCAGCAGUAGGGGAUCUUCGGGAAAGGACGAAAGGCGGAACGAGCAACGCCGCGUGAGUGAAGAAGGUUGUCGGAUCGUAAAGCUCUGUUGUAAGAGAAGAUCGUGUGGGAGAGUGGAAAGUGCACACUGUGACGGUAUCUGACCAGAAAGGGACGGCUAACUACGUG
rnacentral:rRNA from 1 species